GACGAACCGAGCGAACGUUGUUCGGAAUCACUGGGCUUAAAGGGCGCGUAGGCGGGCUGUCAAGUCUGGGGUGAAAUCCCGCGGCUCAACCGUGAAACUGCCUCAGAUACUGACGGCCUCGAGGGGGAUAGGGGCGAGCGGAACGGAUGGUGGAGCGGUGAAAUGCGUUGAUAUUAUCCGGAACUCCGGUGGCGAAGGCGGCUCGCUGGAUCUCUUCUGACGCUGAGGCGCGAAAGCUAGGGGAGCAAACGGG
rnacentral:rRNA from 1 species